CUCGCUGUGAAGAUGCAGUGUACCCGCGGCAAGACGGAAAGACCCCGUGAACCUUUACUAUAGCUUGACACUGAACAUUGAGCCUUGAUGUGUAGGAUAGGUGGGAGGCUUUGAAGUGUGGACGCCAGUCUGCAUGGAGCCGACCUUGAAAUACCACCCUUUAAUGUUUGAUGUUCUAACGUGGGCCCCUUACCGGGGUUGCGGACAGUGUCUGGUGGGUAGUUUGACUGGGGCGGUCUCCUCCUAAAGAGUAACGGAGGAGCACGAAGGUUGGCUAAUCCUGGUCGGACAUCAGGAGGUUAGUGCAAUGGCAUAAGCCAGCUUGACUGCGAGCGUGACGGCGCGAGCAGGUGCGAAAGCAGGUCAUAGUGAUCCGGUGGUUCUGAAUGGAAGGGCCAUCGCUCAACGGAUAAAAGGUACUCCGGGGAUAACAGGCUGAUACCGCCCAAGAGUUCAUAUCGACGGCGGUGUUUGGCACCUCGAUGUCGGCUCAUCACAUCCUGGGGCUGAAGUAGGUCCCAAGGGUAUGGCUGUUCGCCAUUUAAAGUGGUACGCGAGCUGGGUUUAGAACGUCGUGAGACAGUUCGGUCCCUAUCUGCCGUGGGCGCUGGAGAACUGAGGGGGGCUGCUCCUAGUACGAGAGGACCGGAGUGGACGCAUCACUGGUGUUUGGGUUGUCAUGCCAAUGGCACUGCCCGGUAGCUAAAUGCGGAAGAGAUAAGUGCUGAAAGCAUCUAAGCACGAAACUUGCCCCGAGAUGAGUUCUCCCUGAGACUUAGAGUCUCCUGAAGGAACGUUGAAGACGACGACGUUGAUAGGCCGGGUGUGUAAGCGCAGCGAUGCGUUGAGCUAACCGGUACUAAUGAACCGUGAGGCUUAACCUUACAACGCCGAAGAUGUUUUG
rnacentral:rRNA from 1 species